AGGAUGUUGGCUUAGAAGCAGCCACUCAUUCAAAGAGUGCGUAAUAGCUCACUGGUCGAGUGAUCCUGCGCCGAAGAUUUCCGGGGCUAAAACUUACUACCGAAGCUACGGCAUCAGUAAUGAUGGGGAGGGGAGCUUCCCAUACGGGUUGAAGCAUGACCGUAAGGACAUGUGGACAGUAUGGGAGGGAGAAUGUUGGCAUGAGUAGCGAGAUGUGGGUGGGAAUCCCACAGGCCGUAAACCCAAGGUUUCCAGGGGAAGGUUCGUCC
rnacentral:rRNA from 1 species